rnacentral:rRNA from 1 species
AAGCUCGUAGUUGGAUUUCUGGCCUUGAGAGUGUUGUUUUAUGAACUUCUUUUCUAAUUUUUUGGAGAAGUAGUUUUUUGCAUCGCUUUCGGUCAUCCAUUCGGAUUUUUUGAGGGCAGUCAUAGUUAUUAACUUAACUUGGCUGUCGUCCCGAUCAAUUACUUUGAAAAAAUUAGAGUGUUCAAAGCAGGCUUACGCUGUGAAUACAUUAGCAUGGAAUAAUGAGAUAGGACUUUGGUCUUAUUUUGUUGGUAGUGAGGACUGAAGUAAUGAUUGAUAGGGAUAGUUGGGGGUGCUAGUAUUCAACGGCCAGAGGUGAAAUUCGGUGAUUCGUUGAAGACUAACUCAUGCGAAAGCAUUCACCAAGGAUGUCUUCUUUAAUCAAGAACGAAAGUUGGGGGAUCGAAUACGAUCAGAUACCGUCGUAGUCUCAACCAUAAACUAUGCCGACUAGGGAUUGGUGGACGUUUGUUAACAAUUGACUCCAUCAGCACCUUAUGAGAAAUCAAAGUCUUUGGGUUCCGGGGGGAGUAUGGUCGCAAGGCUGAAACUUAAAGGAAUUGACGGAAGGGCACCACCAGGAGUGGAGCCUGCGGCUUAAUUUGACCCAACACGGGAAAACUUACCAGGUCCAGACAUAGUGAGGAUUGACAGAUUGAAGAUCUUUCUUGAUUCUAUGGGUGGUGGUGCAUGGCCGUUCUUAGUUGGUGGAGUGAUUUGUCUGGUUAAUUCCGUUAACGAACGAGACCUCAGCCUGCUAAAUAGUUGUGUUGAAACUUUUGAAGUUUCGAUGAUGACUUCUUAGAGGGACUUUUGGUUUUUUAGCCAAAGGAAGUUUGAGGCAAUAACAGGUCUGUGAUGCCCUUAGAUGUUCUGGGCUGCACGCGCGCUACACUGGCACGUUCAACGAGUUUACAACCUUGGAUCGGAAGGUCUGGGUAAUCUUUGAAAGCGUGCCGUGAUGGGGCUAGAUUAUUGUAAUUAUUAAUCUUAAACGAGGAAUUCCUAGUAAGCGCAAGUCAUCAGCUUGCAUUGAUUACGUCCCUGCCCUUUGUACACACCGCCCGUCGCUCCUACCGAUUGAAUGAUCCGGUGAAAUCUCAAGACUGAGGCAUGUGUGGGUCUUUUUGGGGCCUGUCACGCGUUUCGGGAAUCUGCUUAAACCUUAUCAUUU